AAAGAAAAUAAACAACCGUAGACAGCGGGUGGAAAAUUCCUUAAUUUCCCGCCGAGGUACAAUGUAAAUAUAUUGACCUUGUUGUUUUACGGCAGCAGGGUUUUUUUAUG
rnacentral:sRNA from 1 species